rnacentral:rRNA from 1 species
UACGUAGGGUGCAAGCGUUAUCCGGAAUUAUUGGGCGUAAAGAGCUCGUAGGCGGUUUGUCGCGUCUGCUGUGAAAACUGAAGGCUCAACCUCCAGCCUGCAGUGGGUACGGGCAAACUAGAGUGCGGUAGGGGAGAUUGGAAUUCCUGGUGUAGCGGUGGAAUGCGCAGAUAUCAGGAGGAACACCGAUGGCGAAGGCAGAUCUCUGGGCCGUAACUGACGCUGAGGAGCGAAAGCAUGGGGAGCGAACAGG